rnacentral:sRNA from 3 species
GGAAGGAUGAGAAGCUUCGACUAAGGUUCGAUUCGAGCGCAGCGAGAACGCGUUGCCGCAGGCAACGACCCGAAGGGCGAAGCGCGCAGCGCUGAGUCAUCCUUCCCCCACCACCA